rnacentral:rRNA from 1 species
CAAGUGCCAGCCAAAUGUGUGGUGUUGGCGUCUGUUCCAUGGUUGUGCAAUCUCGCAAGGCCGAAAUCACCAAGCCUUGCAUUCAUUUCAGAAUCAAGGAGCACAUUGCUCGUCCUGACGUCUCGUUGGAUGACAACUUUCUCCCAGUCCCCGUGGAGGUAGAAGAGACCAUAUGCAAUGUCUUUUAUAAUGUUAAUUUUGUGAACGCAAUCUAGGACUUGCCUAUCUUGA